UACGGAGGGUGCAAGCGUUGUCCGGAUUUAUUGGGUUUAAAGGGUGCGUAGGCGGCUAAUUAAGUCAGUGGUGAAAGCCUGUAGCUCAACUAUAGAACUGCCAUUGAUACUGAUUAGCUUGAGUAUGGUUGAGGUAAGCGGAAUGGAUGGUGUAGCGGUGAAAUGCAUAGAUAUCAUCCGGAACACCGAUAGCGAAGGCAGCUUACUGGGCCGAAACUGACGCUGAGGCACGAAAGCAUGGGGAUCGAACAGG
rnacentral:rRNA from 1 species